CGAUGGUGGAAAAUUCAGCUUUUAUUUAAUUUUCGGAUCGAAACUGCUUUUUUGGACCUUCAUUGACUGGGCUAUUGGUUCUAUGGACUAAUAUCCUUUUUACACUAAUCGAAAGGUCUAUCUUAAUGGAACAAAAUGGCUACCAUAACUCAUUUUGACAAAAAAUUGGACUAAUACCCUUUUUACAAUCAGAGGUUCAAUUGUGUUUCAGAUUUCAAUUUAUACUGCAGAAAACAUGGAGCAAAGGAUCAAAUACAACUAUCCAAUCAAGGAGGAAUUCGACAGAACCAGAGUUUCAGCCGCACAAUUUUUACAAGUGGAUUACUUCUAAUAACAAAGAGGCGAACAAUUCUGCAGGAAGACAAGCAACCACCGCCCUAGAGCCAGUGGGCAGCCGAGCGACGACCCUGUCGCAGAAGCCAAGUGCCCCCUGUAGCUGUCGCCGUCCCCAGGGGGCCGCGAGGUGGAUGGAAUGCGAAAUGAAUAACAGACGCCCGGUGAUAGUGAGAAUACUGAUGCUGGGUGAGUGCAAUUUUUGUUCUAGAAUGAUCAAGUAAUUAUAAAAAUAAACUGAAAUUGAAAGAAUAGUCACACUGAAGAUAGAGGCCAGUAUGACGAAACACGUCCGAAAAUAACUUGGUAUCUUGACAUAUAAGUACUGUGAGCAUUGAAUUUUAGCAGGAAGCAUGACUUGAUUUCCAUUUGAUAGAUGUUCCAUUUGGUGGUGAAAAUUGAUGGAAAAUAACUUGAUAAGCACUAGCUGCUACUAACUUUCUGUCUAUUUUCCUUGCCUAUAAUUGUUUUGGUUUUCAUGACUUCAGUAGACUUUUUAUAGUGAGAUUCUCAGGUACAAGAUGACAAAUGGCAAAACAAAGAUGUAAGGUAAUAUAUCCAAUAACUCUAACAAUUAAAAUUAUAUACUAAUUAUGGGUCUGGUGCAAAAUUUAAAAAGCGGUUUGACUCAAUGGUCGCGCUAUUAAGCCAUCGCUUAGAUACGUUGAGAAUCAAGCGUCUGCUACUCCCGUUGGAAGGGUGACCACUUGAGCCAACUCCUCUGAAUAUGAUUCAUAAGUAGGAAAAUUGCUUCAUGGUGGUUCGGAACCCUCCUAAAACUGUAGGUCCACUCAUCUCUUACUAUCAUCCGCCUCAUUACCCACGCACAAGCUAACAGCUCAUGUGGGCUUUGCUCUCAGCAAAAAAAAAAAAGAUUCAGGAUUGUAAGGUUUUUUCUAAUAAAGGUUAAUUGUAUACCAGAAAAUCAUUUAAUGUGAGAGUAAACAGAAAGCGGGAAAACUGAAGGGAAGUUAGGUAUGAUAGAAUAUGAGCUUGUGUCAUUGUAGUUGAAUCUUCUAUUUGAUUGUAGCACAGGUUCACCUUGCAGA